rnacentral:rRNA from 1 species
CGGACGGGUGAGUAACGCGUGGGUAACCUACCCUGUACACACGGAUAACAUACCAAAGGUAUGCUAAUACAGGAUAAUAUAUUUGAGAGGCAUCUCUUGAAUAUCAAAGGUGAGCCAGUACAGGAUGGACCCGCGUCUGAUUAGCUAGUUGGUAAGGUAACGGCUUACCAAGGCGACGAUCAGUAGCCGACCUGAGAGGGUGAUCGGCCACAUUGGAACUGAGACACGGUCCAA